rnacentral:rRNA from 2 species
UACAUGCAAGUCGAACGAGUUCUCGUUGAUGAUCGGUGCUUGCACCGAGAUUCAACAUGGAACGAGUGGCGGACGGGUGAGUAACACGUGGGUAACCUGCCCUUAAGUGGGGGAUAACAUUUGGAAACAGAUGCUAAUACCGCAUAGAUCCAAGAACCGCAUGGUUCUUGGCUGAAAGAUGGCGUAAGCUAUCGCUUUUGGAUGGACCCGCGGCGUAUUAGCUAGUUGGUGAGGUAAUGGCUCACCAAGGCGAUGAUACGUAGCCGAACUGAGAGGUUGAUCGGCCACAUUGGGACUGAGACACGGCCCAAACUCCUACGGGAGGCAGCAGUAGGGAAUCUUCCACAAUGGACGCAAGUCUGAUGGAGCAACGCCGCGUGAGUGAAGAAGGCUUUCGGGUCGUAAAACUCUGUUGUUGGAAAAAAAUGGUCGGCAGAGUAACUGUUGCCGGCGUGACGGUAUCCAACCAGAAAGCCACGGCUAACUACGUGCCAGCAGCCGCGGUAAUACGUAGGUGGCAAGCGUUAUCCGGAUUUAUUGGGCGUAAAGCGAGCGCAGGCGGUUUUUUAAGUCUGAUGUGAAAGCCCUCGGCUUAACCGAGGAAGCGCAUC